rnacentral:rRNA from 1 species
UACGUAGGUGGCAAGCGUUAUCCGGAAUUAUUGGGCGUAAAGCGCGCGUAGGCGGUUUUUUAAGUCUGAUGUGAAAGCCCACGGCUCAACCGUGGAGGGUCAUUGGAAACUGGAAAACUUGAGUGCAGAAGAGGAAAGUGGAAUUCCAUGUGUAGCGGUGAAAUGCGCAGAGAUAUGGAGGAACACCAGUAGCGAAGGCGACUUUCUGGUCUGUAACUGACGCUGAUGUGCGAAAGCGUGGGGAUCAAA